rnacentral:rRNA from 1 species
GGUGCUAUCAUGCAGUCGAACGCUUCUUUCCUCCCGAGUGCUUGCACUCAAUUGGAAAGAGGAGUGGCGGACGGGUGAGUAACACGUGGGUAACCUACCCAUCAGAGGGGGAUAACACUUGGAAACAGGUGCUAAUACCGCAUAACAGUUUAUGCCGCAUGGCAUAAGAGUGAAAGGCGCUUUCGGGUGUCGCUGAUGGAUGGACCCGCGGUGCAUUAGCUAGUUGGUGAGGUAACGGCUCACCAAGGCCACGAUGCAUAGCCGACCUGAGAGGGUGAUCGGCCACACUGGGACUGAGACACGGCCCAGACUCCUACGGGAGGCAGCAGUAGGGAAUCUUCGGCAAUGGACGAAAGUCUGACCGAGCAACGCCGCGUGAGUGAAGAAGGUUUUCGGAUCGUAAAACUCUGUUGUUAGAGAAGAACAAGGACGUUAGUAACUGAACGUCCCCUGACGGUAUCUAACCAGAAAGCCACGGCUAACUACGUGCCAGCAGCCGC